rnacentral:rRNA from 1 species
AGCGAACGCUGGCGGCAGGCUUAACACAUGCAAGUCGAACGGGCACUUCGGUGCUAGUGGCAGACGGGUGAGUAACACGUGGGAACGUACCUUUCGGUUCGGAAUAAUACAGGGGAAACUUGUACUAAUACCGGAUACGCCCUUCGGGGAAGAUUUAUCGCCGAUAGAUCGGCCCGCGUCUGAUUAGCUAGUUGGUGAGGUAAUGGCUCACCAAGGCGACGAUCAGUAGCUGGUCUGAGAGGAUGAUCAGCCACACUGGGACUGAGACACGGCCCAGACUCCUACGGGAGGCAGCAGUGGGGAAUAUUGGACAAUGGGCGAAAGCCUGAUCCAGCCAUGCCGCGUGUGUGAUGAAGGCCUUAGGGUUGUAAAGCACUUUGUCCGGGACGAUGAUGACGGUACCUGCAGAAUAAGCCCCGGCUAACUUCGUGCCAGCAGCCGCGGUAAU